rnacentral:rRNA from 1 species
GACGAACGCUGGCGGCGUGCCUAACACAUGCAAGUCGAGCGGGGUUGAAGCGAGGGGUAACUCGAACUUCUACCUAGCGGCGGACGGGUGAGUAACGCGUGGGCAACCUGCCUCAAGGUCUGGGAUAACAGCUCGAAAGGGCUGCUAAUACCGGAUAUGCCUAUAGCCUCGCAUGGGGCUAUGAGCAAAGGGGAAACCCGCCUUGAGAUGGGCCCGCGUCCCAUCAGCUAGUUGGUGAGGUGAAGGCUCACCAAGGCGACGACGGGUAGCCGGCCUGAGAGGGUGACCGGCCACACUGGGACUGAGACACGGCCCAGACUCCUACGGGGGGCAGCAGUGGGGAAUCUUGCACAAUGGGCGAAAGCCUGAUGCAGCGACGCCGCGUGAGCGAAGAAGGCCUCGGUUGUAAGACUCUGUCUGGAGGGACGGAAGAAAGGUAGACGGUACCGUACCGGACGGAAGGCCGACGGCGUAACUAACGUGCCAGCAGCCGCGGUAAACGUAGCGUG